rnacentral:tRNA from 1 species
UUUCUCUUUCUUUUAAAAUGUAUUGGGGCGUAAAUCUUUUAUUAUUU